CUGCAUUUUCUCAAUAAUGGUCCUGGCAGAGAUAGGAUUCUUGUGGGUUUUAAUAUACAUAAAAACUCAAGGGCAAGCAGAGUUCACAAUUCUCGUCCCAGAGACGUAAUCUGGGAGGUUAUUGCAUUUAAGGAGUUUAUUAACUUUCAUAGCCAGGGCGUCCGUUGGGUUCUUACUCAAAAUUUGUGCGUUGGGAUCUUGUAUGAAACGCAUGAUGUGGGCAUCAUACAAAGUCUUAAGGAUGACUAAUUUUUUGGAUUUAUCUUCUCUUGUCACAACUAGCUCCUGAUCUAUGAGCCAGUUAAUCGUAUGUUGGACUUUUGGGUCUCUCGACCUAAGGCUAUCUAUAGGAGGAUUAAGGCCGCAGGUCCUUCUCUUAUUGUGUUCCUCUACAAAAGACCAUCUUCGUUUCUCCGCUUCAAACUCAUCAAGUGGUUCAAUUAAUCUUUCCAGAAUAGGAAUACCAUCUAAGACACUGGAUGCUUCAAAAAGUGCACAGUUAGGGCCCUUACGUAACAGCUCAGCUGCAUAUUGCAGUACAUGGUAAAUGUAUU
rnacentral:lncRNA from 1 species